AGCUUUGUGUAGAAGACAGUAUUGUAGCCAGUGAGGUUUAUCUGAGGCAUGAUUAUUGCUAAUUGCAUUACUCUCGAACUG
ensembl:snRNA U4 U4 spliceosomal RNA